AUGGCUGGGCCUCCUCAGAUGCCAAAC
rnacentral:piRNA from 1 species